rnacentral:lncRNA from 1 species
GGGAGAAAAUUGAGGGCUAUGGCAUUAGGUGAUGAUGAGCUUUUCUCUCAAACAAGGAGCCAUUGUUCACACCGAAGAGUAUGAAGGAUAAACUUGCAUGUCAUGUGUGGAUCAUUGAUGAGGUUGAUGUUGCCAAUUUGUUGGGAGUUUUGUACUUUUUUUCCCUACCCUAAAGUCAGUCAAAAAGGUAUAUGAGAAAUCUUAUCUUGAAGAUAAAUGUCUAAGGAAAAUAGGCCACUCACGUAAUUGGAAAAAACUGGUCUGUUGAAAUGACAUGCUUUCUUGCACAACACAGCAUCGCGAGGCACCUUCGUUGGUAAGACAAAACCAUUAAAAUUCCAAAUGUGAAAUGAAGAAAUUCCUUAUAAGUUGAGUGGGAGCUUUCACACCACGCCCCUAAAAAGUCAUAAUCUUCUUGCAUCUCUGAAACACAAUAAAUGAUAAGAUAUGAAAUAAUUUGUCAAAGCAGUUUACGAGGAGCCAUAAGGAGCAAUGUUUACUAGUAUUGGGUAUUGUUCAGCUUAUAAUUUUUUCAUAAUGUUGUCAAGAGUCUUGGGCUAUUACUUUGCUGAUAUUUUAGACAUGAGCU